CGCGGCCCUUGCCCGGCGCGACGAUGCCGUCGAUGCUGCCGGUGUUGAUCACGCGGGCCGGAUCGUCCUCGGCGGCAGCGGC
rnacentral:tRNA from 1 species